rnacentral:rRNA from 1 species
GACGAACGCUGGCGGCGUGCUUAACACAUGCAAGUCGAACGUGAUUUUUGUGGAAAUUCUUUCGGGAAUGGAAAUGAAAUGAAAGUGGCGAACGGGUGAGUAACACGCGAGCAACCUACCUUACACAGGGGGAUAGCCGUUGGAAACGACGAUUAAUACCGCAUGAGACCACAGAAUCGCAUGAUAUAGGGGUCAAAGAUUUAUCGGUGUAAGAAGGGCUCGCGUCUGAUUAGCUAGUUGGAAGGGUAAAGGCCUACCAAGGCGACGAUCAGUAGCCGGUCUGAGAGGAUGAACGGCCACAUUGGAACUGAGACACGGUCCAAACUCCUCGGGAGGCAGCAUUGUUGAAAUUUGAGAAUGGGGGUAACCCUGAUGCUGCCUCCCCCGCGUGAGCCAAGAGUGUGUUUGAACGUAAUUUUCUGUCUAUGUAUGAAGAGAUGGUGUGUGUGCAUGUGGAUGAAGGCCCUGUGAUGAAUAUGUGCUGCCGUGCGCUGUUGUUGUGUCUUGUGCUGGAGCGUGUGGUGAAAUUAGGGGGCUUCUGUGUGUGGUGGUGUGUGUUUUAUUUAAGUGUGUGGGGUGUUGGGUGUGUGUGUGUUAUGUUGUGUAUGUGUUGCAUUUAUUGUCGUGUGUUGGUGUGGUGCCUGUGGUGUCUUGUACUGGUGUGUGUUUGGUAGUGAGUGUUUGAGAUAUUGCCGCCCCAUCUGCCUGACGUGCUGCCUGUGCUGCUUUGGGGGUGGGGCCGUGUGUGUGUGUGAUGCUGCUGCGCCCCUGCUGCGCUGGGAUGUGUGUGGAAGUGGGGUGUGGGGGGUUGUGUGAGUGCUGCUGUUGGUGUUUAAGUAGUAGUAGUAACUGACUGAUGAGUGAUGUGUUUGUGCUCCUAGCCCUCAUGCUGCUUCCUGCCCUGUGUGCCCUGUGAGAUAGUAGUUAC